UACAGAGGGGGCAAGCGUUAUUCGGAAUUAUUGGGCGUAAAGGGCGCGUAGGCGGCUUGGCAAGUGGAAGGUGAAAUCCCUCGGCUUAACCGAGGAACUGCCCUCCAAACUGCUUGGCUUGAGACCGGGAGAGGUGAGUGGAAUUCCCAGUGUAGCGGUGAAAUUCGUAGAUAUCGGGAGGAACACCUGUGGCGAAGGCGGCCAUCUGGACGUCAACUGACGCUGAGACGCGAAAGCAUGGGGAGCAAACAGG
rnacentral:rRNA from 1 species